rnacentral:rRNA from 1 species
GUGACCUCAAAUCAGGUAGGACUACCCGCUGAACUUAAGCAUAUCAAUAAGCGGAGGAAAAGAAACUAACAGGAUCCCCUAGUA